rnacentral:tRNA from 1 species
GGCCAGUUGGUCAAGCGGUUAAGACACCGCCCUUUCACGGCGGUAACACGGGUUCGAAUCCCGUACGGGUCACCA